rnacentral:rRNA from 1 species
UACGUAGGGGGCAAGCGUUGUCCGGAUUUAUUGGGCGUAAAGAGCGUGUAGGCGGCUAGAUAGGUCCGUUGUGAAAACUCGAGCUCAACCUCGAGACGCCGGUGGAAACCAUCUAGCUAGAGUCCGGAAGAGGAGAGUGGAAUUCCUGGUGUAGCGGUGAAAUGACGCAGAUAUCAGGAAGAACACCCCGUGGCGAAGGCGGCUCUCUGGUACGUGACUGACGCUGAGACGCGAAAGCGUGGGGAGCGAACAGG